GAUCAUUAAUGAGAUCAUGCCCUUUGGGGUAGACCUCCCACCCCCUGUUUACCGUACCCGUUGCUUUGGCGGCCCCGUCGCGAGACGGGCCGCCAGAGGACCUUUAAACCCGUAUUAUCAUUGUCGUCUGAGUACUAUACAAUAGUUAAAACUUUCAACAACGGAUCUCUUGGUUCUGGCAUCGAUGAAGAACGCAGCGAAAUGCGAUAAGUAAUGUGAAUUGCAGAAUUCAGUGAAUCAUCGAAUCUUUGAACGCACAUUGCGCCCCCUGGUAUUCCGGGGGGCAUGCCUGUUCGAGCGUCAUUACAACCCUCAAGCUCUGCUUGGUCUUGGGCGUCACCCCCCAGGUGCGCCUUAAAAUCAGUGGCGGUGCCGUCUGGCUUCAAGCGUAGUAUUACUCCUCGCUUGGGAGCCCGGGCGUGCGUCUUGCCAAAACCCCAUACUUCUUUUAGGUUGACCUCGGAUCAGGUAGGGAUACCCGCUGAACUUAAGCAUAUCAAUAAGCGGAGGAAAAGAAACCAACAGGGAUUGCCUCAGUAACGGCGAGUGAAGCGGCAACAGCUCAAAUUUGAAAUCUGGCCCCCUCGGGGCCCGAGUUGUAAUUUGUAGAGGAUGUUUCGGGUGUGGCUCCGGUCUAAGUUCCUUGGAACAGGACGUCAUAGAGGGUGAGAAUCCCGUAUGUGACUGGCAGCCUACGCCCAUGUGAAACUCCUUCGACGAGUCGAGUUGUUUGGGAAUGCAGCUCAAAAUGGGUGGUAAAUUUCAUCUAAAGCUAAAUAUUGGCCAGAGACCGAUAGCGCACAAGUAGAGUGAUCGAAAGAUGAAAAGCACUUUGGAAAGAGAGUUAAACAGUACGUGAAAUUGUUGAAAGGGAAGCGCUUGCAACCAGACUUGCGUGCGGCCGAUCAUCCGGUGUUCUCACCGGUGCACUCGGUCGUGCUCAGGCCAGCAUCGGUUUCGGCGGCUGGAUAAAGGCCAUGGGAAUGUAGCUUCUCUCGGGGAGUGUUAUAGCCCGUGGUGCAAUGCAGCCCGCUGGGACCGAGGACCGC
rnacentral:rRNA from 1 species